rnacentral:rRNA from 1 species
AGAACGAACGCUGGCGGCAGGCUUAACACAUGCAAGUCGAGCGCCCCGCAAGGGGAGCGGCAGACGGGUGAGUAACGCGUGGGAACAUACCCUCCGGUUCGGAAUAGCUCAGGGAAACUUGGAUUAAUACCGGAUACGGCCUAGCGGCGAAAGAUUGAUCGCCGGAGGAUUGGCCCGCGUCUGAUUAGCUAGUUGGUGGGGUAAUGGCCCACCAAGGCGACGAUCAGUAGCUGGUCUGAGAGGAUGAUCAGCCACAUUGGGACUGAGACACGGCCCAAACUCCUACGGGAGGCAGCAGUGGGGAAUAUUGGACAAUGGGCGCAAGCCUGAUCCAGCCAUGCCGCGUGAGUGAUGACGGCCUUAGGGUUGUAAAGCUCUUUCGCUAGGACGAUAAUGACGGUACCUAGACAAGAACGCCCGGCUAACUUCGUGCCAGCAGCCGC